GGGGAUGUCAAUGGCAAGCACCAAGGAAUGUCAUACAGCUCACAAUCCCAGGAAAGUGCCAACUUCACCCUAAAGUACUCCAGCUGAUAUGGGGGUGUUUUGGAGAAACUCAGGUUUACCUGUUUGCUUUAGCCAAGACCGGCCACAGCUCCGCUCAGCACAGAUGCACUGGCUCACUGCUGGAUUCGGACAUGUGUAUCAGGCAAGUUUGCGUUUCCCUAGUGAGUCUUCUUGUACAGACCCUGUGCAAGGUCAGGGAGGACGAGGAGCAGAUCUUGCUGGUUGCACCACACUGGCCCACCCAGACCCGGUUUCCAGAACUCACACUCCUCGGGACAGACCCUCCCUGACAGAUUCUCCUGAGAAAGGACCUUCUUUCUCAAGGAGGUUUUCUAUCUGGCACUUACGUCCAGAUCAGAAUAAGGAGAAGCUGUCAGGGAGGACGAGGAGCAGAUCUUGCUGGUUGCACCACACUGGCCCACCCAGACCUGGUUUCCAGAACUCACACUCCUCGGGACAGACCCUCCCUGACAGAUUCUCCUGAGGAAGGACCUUCUUUCUCAAGGAGGUUUUCCAUCUGGCACUUACGUCCAGAUCAGAAAAAGGAGAAGGUAGUUGGAAUUUUUAUAGAUUUAAAGAAGGCAUUUGAUACAAUAAAUGAUAAUAUAUUGGUAA